rnacentral:rRNA from 1 species
CCGAACCGACUAAUGUUGAAAAAUUAGCGGAUGACCUGUGGCUGGGGGUGAAAGGCCAAUCAAACCGGGAGAUAGCUGGUUCUCCCCGAAAGCUAUUUAGGUAGCGCCUCGUGAAUUCAUCUCCGGGGGUAGAGCACUGUUUCGGCUAGGGGGCCAUCCCGGCUUACCAACCCGAUGCAAACUGCGAAUACCGGAGAAUGUUAUCACGGGAGACACACGGCGGGUGCUAACGUCCGUCGUGAAGAGGGAAACAACCCAGACCGCCAGCUAAGGUCCCAAAGUCAUGGUUAAGUGGGAAACGAUGUGGGAAGGCCCAGACAGCCAGGAUGUUGGCUUAGAAGCAGCCAUCAUUUAAAGAAAGCGUAAUAGCUCACUGGUCGAGUCGGCCUGCGCGGAAGAUGUAACGGGGCUAAACCAUGCACCGAAGCUGCGGCAGCGACACUGUGUGUUGUUGGGUAGGGGAGCGUUCUGUAAGCCUGUGAAGGUGUGUCGUGAGGCA